rnacentral:rRNA from 1 species
UACGUAGGGGGCUAGCGUUGUCCGGAAUUAUUGGGCGUAAAGAGCGUGUAGGCGGUUCGGUAAGUCUGCUGUGAAAUCCUGGGGCUCAACCCCGGGCGUGCAGCGGAUACUGCCGGGCUAGAGGGUGGUAGAGGCGAGUGGAAUUCCCGGUGUAGCGGUGAAAUGCGCAGAUAUCGGGAGGAACACCAGUAGCGAAGGCGGCUCGCUGGGCCACACCUGACGCUGAGACGCGAAAGCGUGGGGAGCGAACAGG